rnacentral:misc_RNA from 1 species
AACGCACCUUGCGCUCCUUGGUAUUCCGAGGAGCAUGCCUGUUUGAGUGUCAUCGAAUUCUCAACCAUGUCUUGAUCGAUUUCAAGGCCAUGGCUUGGAGUUGGGGGUUGCUGGCGGCGACGAGCUGUCAGCUCUCCUGAAAUGCAUUAGCAAAGGGCAGCAAGUCUUUGACGUGCACGGCCUUCGACGUGAUAAUGAUCGUCGUGGCUGGAGCGUCGGACAUGCAUGAAUAGGUCCUGUGCUUCUAAUCUCUCCCAUGCCUGACGGCGUGUGUUUCGAAACUUGACCUCAAAUCAGGUAGGACUACCCGCUGAACUUAA